rfam:Felis catus isolate Cinnamon breed Abyssinian chromosome D4, whole genome shotgun sequence.
GCCUGGGUGGCUCAGUCGGUUAAGCAUCUGACUUUGGCUCAGGUCAUGAUCUCACUGUUUGUGAGUUCGAGGCCCACAUCAGGUU